rnacentral:rRNA from 1 species
UACAGAGGCCCCGAGCGUUGUUCGGAUUCACUGGGCGUAAAGGGUGCGUAGGUGGCUUGAAAAGUUUGAUGUGAAAGCUCAGGGCUUAACCCUGAAAUGGCAUUGAAUACUGUCGAGCUGGAGGUUUGGAGGGGGGACUGGAAUUCUUGGUGUAGCAGUGAAAUGCGUAGAUAUCAAGAGGAACACCAGUGGCGAAGGCGAGUCCCUGGACAACACCUGACGCUGAGGCACGAAAGCUAGGGGAGCAAACAGG